rnacentral:rRNA from 1 species
AGUGAACGCUGGCGGUAGGCCUAACACAUGCAAGUCGAACGGCAGCACAGUAAGAGCUUGCUCUUACGGGUGGCGAGUGGCGGACGGGUGAGGAAUACAUCGGAAUCUACUUUUUCGUGGGGGAUAACGUAGGGAAACUUACGCUAAUACCGCAUACGACCUACGGGUGAAAGCAGGGGAUCUUCGGACCUUGCGCGAUUGAAUGAGCCGAUGUCGGAUUAGCUAGUUGGCGGGGUAAAGGCCCACCAAGGCGACGAUCCGUAGCUGGUCUGAGAGGAUGAUCAGCCACACUGGAACUGAGACACGGUCCAGACUCCUACGGGAGGCAGCAGUGGGGAAUAUUGGACAAUGGGCGCAAGCCUGAUCCAGCCAUACCGCGUGGGUGAAGAAGGCCUUCGGGUUGUAAAGCCCUUUUGAUGGGAAAGAAAAGCAGCAGGUUAAUACCCCGCUGUUCUGACGGUACCCAAAGAACAAGCACCGGCUAACUUCGUG